rnacentral:rRNA from 1 species
AUACUAGUUGUUGCUAAGCUAGUCUUGGCAGUAAUGCACCUAACGGAUUAAGUAUACCGCCUGGGGAGUACGGUCGCAAGAUUAAAACUCAAAGGAAUAGACGGGGACCCGCACAAGCGGUGGAGCAUGUGGUUUAAUUCGAAGAUACGCGAAGAACCUUACCCGGACUUGAUAUCUAACAAAUCAUCUAGAGAUAGAAGAGUGUCUGCUUGCAGAAAUGUUAAGACAGGUGCUGCAUGGCUGUCGUCAG